AUGCAGCGUUUGCAAGCCGAAGCCUUUGCUCACCUGCUAGUUCUGGAAAGAGAUGCCUGAGUAAGAAAACCGCCGUGGAAAGGCUGAAGAAACACGUCAACAAAUGCAGAAUAGAAGGUGCCAAAUCUGAAGAGGUCCCUGCUUGCAUGAAGGCUCUUCACAACAAUAAGAGGCUUGGAAUGAAUCUGUGCUCUCACUCUUGUGGGAAGCCUACCUUUCAGCUCUUGUCUUCAGACUCGGCAUGGAAGGCAUGAAAAAAGCAACAAUAGAGGAGAGGACGGGACUGGGCAAGCAUUCACCUCUAAUCAGGUUCAGAAUGCCAGAUUCAGUCAUGGCUGAAUAGAGGUGGGAAGUUUGGUGUUUCAGAUGAACACGGCAACAUGGCUGCAUUUAGCUUCACUGUUCCAUUUUUGGCUGUGGGAAGAAAACCACUCUGCUCCUCCACAUCAUUUUUUAAUUCAUUGGGAAAGCAUGGGGAACAGUGAGUAACUUCAAAAUCGUGCUGCACCUUUGAUCUUAAUUUCCAAAUCCUGUAAUUUCUUUAAAGUACACACACUUUCCUCCCUCUCACCACCAAACACACAGUCUUAUUUGAGUGUCAAACAGGAUUUUAAUGAGUCCCGCUAGAGAGAGGGGAAAGCAGCUGUUCAAGUUAGUUUCUAUAAAUAAUUCUAUAUGAUCGCUGCUAAACUUUUAAGAGCUACCGCUAGAGCUUGCCUGUUUCCUCUCAUAUCCCUUAGAAAGCUGGUCUGUGAAGUGAAUGACUUUUUGCCACAGAUCUUACACAUGUAUUUGUCAUGAGCCAAAGGCUGGAUGUUGCACUGCGUAACAUCCUUGAUACUCUUUAUUUAAUUAUUUUAGACAUUACACAAAUUGUUCCCAAGUGUGAAUGCUGCAUUGACACAUGGUGCUUAAUCGUCAUAAUCAUCAUCGUUGUUGUUAUCGUCAUGCCUUUGAAAAAGGCUUCCAGUAGAAAAUAGAAAAAGAAGAAGAAUUCAUAUUCUUACAUGUUAUUUAUGGUUUAAUAAAAUCCAGGUGAAAUGCCUGUAAUGUAUUGUAAGGGAGGCUGCCUCUGAACCUCAUUCAGAAAUGUUAAUUGGUGCACAAAUGUAGUUGCUAGUUUAUUAAAGUACAAUGAAUGUGCAUAAAUAUAUUAUUUCAGUAUUUAAAGCUCUUCCAUUAAUUCCCACUUGAUUUAUCAAUUUGAAACACUGUUUUUGAUGACUGAAGAGACACGAGCUUUUUUCUUCAGUGGAAUCCAUACAAAAAUAUACCUUUGUCCAGCAUCUUACAUACAUAAGCACCCUUCAGUCUCGCGAGACUAUAGUAACAUGUAUGUUUGGGCUUUUCAGUGUCGAAGUAUGGUAAAGAAGGAGAAAUAUUCUAAUUUUAAAUAUGGGGAUACACAUUUAUUAAAUAAAUCAUGCAUAUAGAGUGUUCAUAAGUGACCUCGGUGAUGCUUUUGAAGAGGAAUAAACUAAGCUUCUAGUGUAAACUGUCCUCACUAUGGUGCUUCCCAGCUGUGUUGGCUAUGCUGUCUGAAGACUGUAGGAGUUAUACUCCAAAGCAUCUGGAGGGCACCAGACUGCUAAAAAUCCUUUGUCCUGAGAUCUGGUUCUUACCAUCCAUGUGUGCCAAGAACCUUCUCUCUCACCUAUCUGUCGCUCUCGAUCAUCCAUUCUUCCUAGCCCUUGCCUCCCCUUCUGUUCCUUUUUCAUACUGCCAUAAUUGUUGGCUAAAAUGACUUCUCCAUUUCCUGGUCCUUUGGCAAGUUUCCUUUUCCCCCAGUCUGUGGGCCUCUCAUCCCUAAAUUCACAUUGCAGUCCCAGUUAGAGGAGACCCAUUGGCUGUUUAAACUAUUGAUGAGUAAGCCUUCAUAGAAUCAU